UACGUAGGGGGCUAGCGUUGCCCGGAUUCACUGGGCGUAAAGCGGGUGUAGGCGGUUCUUUAAGUCGGAUGUGGAAUCCAGCGGCCCAACCGCUGAAUUGCAUCCGAUACUGGGGAACUUGAGGACGGUAGAGGUCGGUGGAAUAUCCGGUGUACCGGUGAAAUGGACAGAUAUCGGAUGGAACACCAGUGGCGAAGGCGGCCGACUGGGCCGAUCCUGACGCUGAGACCCGAAAGCUAGGGUAGCGAACCGG
rnacentral:rRNA from 1 species